CGGAAAAGGAAAUCAAAAAUCUAAAAUAAAUUAACAAUCAUAAGUCUAUCCUAUUUGUAACUUGUUCUAUUAACAAAGAAUCCUUAAAAAAAUAUCACAAACAGAUUUUGUUUUCUUUGCAUGUAUUUCAGAAACAUAUAAAAAGUAAAAAGGAGCUAUGUAUCGAAACAUUAAAUAUAAAUACCUACAAAAUUGUGAAAAUAUUUUUUACUCAUUGAGGUGAAAAUUGUCUCUAAUGAAAAGCAGAUUACUUUUUUUGGUAUUUGAAAAGUUUAACAUACAUACAUGAAUAAUGAUUGCAUAUUACACAGUAAUACACUUUAUAUUAACAAUCAUUUUUAUUAUUUAAUUCACACUGAUUGAAAUUUGUGAAUUUGACAUAUCCACAACCAACUACGUAACGGUUUUAGAAAAUCACAACUGAAUAAUUUGUUA
rnacentral:lncRNA from 1 species